ACCUGAGUGGCUCAGUAGGUUAAGCGUCUGACUUUGGCUCAGGUCAUCAUCUCCCAGUUUGUGAGUUCAAGCCCCACGUCAGGCU
rnacentral:tRNA from 1 species